rnacentral:rRNA from 1 species
AUGGCUCAGGACGAACGCUGGCGGCGUGCUUAACACAUGCAAGUCGAACGAUGAAGCCUUUCGGGGUGGAUUAGUGGCGAACGGGUGAGUAACACGUGGGCAAUCUGCCCUUCACUCUGGGACAAGCCCUGGAAACGGGGUCUAAUACCGGAUAACACUCUGUCCCGCAUGGGACGGGGUUAAAAGCUCCGGCGGUGAAGGAUGAGCCCGCGGCCUAUCAGCUUGUUGGUGGGGUGAUGGCCUACCAAGGCGACGACGGGUAGCCGGCCUGAGAGGGCGACCGGCCACACUGGGACUGAGACACGGCCCAGACUCCUACGGGAGGCAGCAGUGGGGAAUAUUGCACAAUGGGCGAAAGCCUGAUGCAGCGACGCCGCGUGAGGGAUGACGGCCUUCGGGUUGUAAACCUCUUUCAGCAG